UGGAGAGACGCGCGCGGGAGCCAGACGGAAAUGCCCGAAGGAGGCCGGAAAUACCCGAGGUGAAUCGGCAGAGGAGAUCACCGUUGCCGGAAGUUGUCGAGGAGUACCGGAGACGACCGAGCGUGAUCCAAAGCCAAGACCACAUUGUUUGAAGUUGUGCUUCGAUGGACUCUUUUAGAGCAUUUUUACUUCCUUUUCUGUUCCUGAUUGACCUACUUAAACUCACCAUCCAGCAACUACUUGGACAUCCUGCCGUCACCCCGAUCCACAUAUAUUUAGCUGGCAAGUGGACUUAGAUUACAGGCCCCAGAGACUGAACUUAUGAGGAUAGAGGGAAAAGUCCCUGCCCUCCCCAUCGCCGCCCCCACUGUACUAGCUACAUGGAACUUCUUAACCCACUUUCUAUUCCCAGAAACAUUGUAUAUAUUGCUAUCCCUGUCCAGAUACUCUAGUUCAACUCUUCGCUUGGCUAUCUCUACCCAUCCUCCAAAUUUCACUUCUUUAGUUUUUUUCUGACCUAUUGGAAUACAGGGAUAGUUUGGCUAUCCCUGCUUUUCCUUGAGUGCUAACGUACUUGUCAUUACUCCUAUCACCCUUUACUGUGCUAACUUGUUUAAUUGUCCUCUUCCUAUCUAACCCAUAAGCUUCGUGAGGAAAGAAGCCCUGUUUGCCUAUUCCAGGAUGUAUUCUCCACACUUAGUAUAGUAUCAGGUACAGGCAAACCUUAGAGACAUUGUGAGUUCUAAUCCAGACC